CAAGCUUGGGGUUGGGCAAUCCCACCUCUGGGAAGAACUCUAACUGAUGACAGUUCCAUAUUGUUAAAUUUUGUAGACUCUGGAGGUUUUGCAUAUGACUAGAUAAAGAUCUCAAUCUUUCACAGCCAAAGAUUUCCAAAGAGACAAGAGUGGGCAUGUGCAAUUCCCUCCCUGGAAACGACUCCAAUUGAGGACAGUUCCGUAUUUGUAAUACUGUGAGAUGCGAAAGCUGUAGCGAGUUUAAUAAUUGUGUCGCCCAGUUGUGAAUAUGAAGAGUCUUUAGGGAAUCAGGAAACUUGCCAUUUGAAGGAUACCUGAGAGAUUUACCUCGAAAGAUAUGUAUUUCCUCCAGAUGAGACGUCGCGCCACUAUGAGACACAAUUCCCUCCGGCAAAGACACCAAAGAAUCACAGCUAUCGAUACGAAGACGGAUCAAGCUGUGUGGCAAACCCCUUGCUGGGA
rnacentral:misc_RNA from 1 species